rnacentral:rRNA from 1 species
AUUGAACGCUGGCGGCAUGCCUAACACAUGCAAGUCGAGCGGAUGAAGGGAGCUUGCUCCUGGAUUCAGCGGCGGGCGGGUGAGUAAUGCCUAGGAAUCUGCCUGGUAGUGGGGGAUAACGUCCGGAGACGGGCGCUAAUACCGCAUACGUCCUGAGGGAGAAAGUGGGGGAUCUUCGGACCUCACGCUAUCAGAUGAGCCUAGGUCGGAUUAGCUAGUUGGUGGGGUAAAGGCCUACCAAGGCGACGAUCCGUAGCUGGUCUGAGAGGAUGAUCAGUCACACUGGAACUGAGACACGGUCCAGACUCCUACGGGAGGCAGCAGUGGGGAAUAUUGGACAAUGGGCGAAAGCCUGAUCCAGCCAUGCCGCGUGUGUGAAGAAGGUCUUCGGAUUGUAAAGCACUUUAAGUUGGGAGGAAGGGCAGUAAGUUAAUACCUUGCUGUUUUGACGGUACCAACAGAAUAAGCACCGGCUAACUUCGUG